AUUACGAUGAGAAGACAUAGAGGAGGAUUAUCACAAAGAUCUAGCGGGCGAGUGGAUCCCUUGCACAAUUCUGUGCCAGAGAUAAGUCCAAUGGCAAGACAGAAGCCAUCAACCAACUGUUUACAUUAGGAAGAGCUAGAGGGGGAUUAUCACAAAGUUCUGGUCCAGCAAACGGAUCAAGGGAAAUUAAUUCGCAAGAGAGAAAAACAGCAAAUUUGCAUGGAGUAGAUCUUCCAAGGGAGCAAGCAAAUGGCAGUACUCCAAUUUGAUACUCCCAACGACGACUUGGAAUAGCUGCUACACCGUUAUCUCUUCCAUCAAACCGACGGGUAGCUCUAAACGCACCUCAAACGCAGAAUCAUGUGAAACGUUCCUUAAUACUGGAAGGGGACAAUGCUUCAAGUGUCAUGCGAAACAAGGAAGCUGUACAUGACAGAAGGGGGCAGUCACCUGAUG